rnacentral:rRNA from 1 species
GCCUACCAUGCAAGUCGAGCGGAAACGACACUAACAAUCCUNCGGGUGCGUUAAUGGGCGUCGAGCGGCGGACGGGUGAGUAAUGCCUAGGAAAUUGCCUUGAUGUNGGNGAUAACCAUUGGAAACGAUGGCUAAUACCGCAUAAUGCCUACGGGCCAAAGAGGGGGACCUUCGGGCCUCUCGCGUCAAGAUAUGCCUAGGUGGGAUUAGCUAGUUGGUGAGGUAAUGGCUCACCAAGGCGACGAUCCCUAGCUGGUCUGAGAGGAUGAUCAGCCACACUGGAACUGAGACACGGUCCAGACUCCUACGGGAGGCAGCAGUGGGGAAUAUUGCACAAUGGGCGAAAGCCUGAUGCAGCCAUGCCGCGUGUAUGAAGAAGGCCUUCGGGUUGUAAAGUACUUUCAGUUGUGAGGAAGGGGGUAGCGUUAAUAGCGCUAUCUCUUGACGUUAGCAACAGAAGAAGCACCGGCUAACUCCGUGCCAGCAGCCCGCGGUAAUAC